UACGGAGGGUGCAAGCGUUAUCCGGAUUCACUGGGGUUAAAGGGUACGUAGGUGGGCAGGUAAGUCAGUGGUGAAAUCUCUGGGCUUAACCCGGAAACUGCCGUUGAUACUAUCUGUCUUGAAUAUAGUGGAGGUGAGCGGAAUAUGUCAUGUAGCGGUGAAAUGCUUAGAUAUGACAUAGAACAUCGAUUGCGAAGGCAGCUCGCUACACUAUGAUUGACACUGAGGCACGAAAGCGUGGGGAUCAAACAGG
rnacentral:rRNA from 1 species